rnacentral:lncRNA from 1 species
UUAAAACAUAAAUACAUAUGGGUCGGCAAGGCCUCUCACAUAUUGUACAAAAUGAACAUUUAUCUACAAUGCCUCUAAGAUUAUUCAACAUCAAAUGGGAUAGGGUACCGGCCUACACAUAAGUCCGUAGAAAAACUCUAACACAAUGACUCAUGGACUCGGCUGCACUCCGAAUGAGGUGGAGUCUUACCGAUCCUUCGCUGAAUGCAUACCUCGUCUAUUGUAAGGGUUCGUCAAUCUGAUUAUUUAUACCUGCAGGCAUGAAUGUAGUGUCCUCAACAAAAGGACGUCAGUACGAAUAAUGUACUGAGUAUGUAAGGCAGAACUGAAACAUAACAGUAAGUCAACAUUAAUUAAGUACAUAGAAGAAAUAUAGAGUAAAUGACUCAACCUGUAAAUUUGAAUAGCUCUGUAAAUCAUGAAAUAUUUAUAAUAUCAUGCAUAUGUGUAUAAAUGUCAUGUAAUACAUAGGUUUGUAUGUACAUAACAUCAUAAAGCCUCUGAGGGCAUCCCAUUAUAUCAUCUCAACCACUUCGGGCAAAAUCAUCAUCGUAUACCAGCUGAUCAGGUGGUGGUGCGUAUAUAACGCCAUAACCUUUCCCAUACCCCAUAUAUACAUAUAUAUACUUAUAUAUACGCGUAUAUAAUGCCAUAACAUCAUCACGCCUCUGAGGACGUCCCAUCAUAUCAUCUCGGCUACUGUGGACAAAUCAUCAACGUAUACCAGCUAAUCAUGUGGUGGUGCAUAUAUAACGCCAUAACCUUUUUUCAUAUUCCAUAUACAUAUAUAUACUUAUAUACGCGUAUAUAACGCCAUCUGAGUCAUGGGUAAAUGCACAUGUGAAUGAAUGCAAUGUAUGAGAAGUAUGUUAAUAAAACUUCUCUGAACGUCAAAAGACCAUUCUGCCUCUGAUUAAUAUUAUUUUACAGGAAUAAAUAACAUAGACACCCUUUUCCCAAAAUAAUAAUCAAGGUUUAAAGGGAAGUAGGCCCCAUUAAUUUAAGGAGAAAAAUUAUUUAUUUUACUGAACCUGGGUUACUAAACUACAUGCUAAUCAAUUGGUGAAGCAUGUUUAGACAAGUAUUGAUACAAACAAUUCACAAUUUAUAAUAGCCGUGUAUUUGAAUUAUGCCAUAAUCCACUAGAGCAACUUAUUCUGAUGAUAACUUUCUUAAUCUACACUAGUUAGUACUCAAUCGUAAUAACUCAUCAUUUUGCUGACAAAUUAUCUUCCACUCAAUUACUACAAGAAGAAUGGAUAAACAGAAGUUACACUGAACAUAAGCAAAACUUUCAAUAACACCAGAUAUAGAAUUAUUUGUGAAGCAAAUAUAACACGACUUGGAAGAUGUAAGGAGUCGAACAACAAUUCCAGGAACACUGUCACCGUAACCCAGUGCUUAAUAAAAGAUUCAAGUACGACGAAAUAUCAAUUCAGAAAACUUUGCAAUGAUUUUCAUAGUUAUUAAGCAAAGAUAAGGUUAAAGUGGAUGGUCUAACAAACUCCUUUGAAUUAGUACCGAAAUUUUCAUAUCAAUUCAAAAUUUACGUAUUUUUUUGAGACCCAUGAACAUAUGAUAAAAUAAUAGGACACAGGGGAAUUCAAGAACAUAGGCACCUCUAAUACUUUUACGAAUAGAGUCAUAUACGAAAGUUGUGCAUUUUCUCGUUUUGUUUGUAUCGUAUGGAUCGUGCCAAAAGAAAGGAGAGAUAGCCUUAACAUACCUGAGCCGAUUCUCUUGACAAUCCCUCUGGAAAAAUCUUCAAUUCAGGCCAUAUUGAUAUAAAAUGCACUAGUAUAAGUAUUUGAACCCAGAAACGCGCAAUAAAGGAUUCCCCAAAUUCCAACGUAUAUGUACAUGUACGCCCUGGACCGGACGUAUUUCCAAGACCUCUAUCUUUUCCUCCUUUGUCUAACAACUUUCCUAAACCUACUAACAUGACUAUCUAUCUAUUCUACCAAAUUCGUAGACACAAUAGGAAAUGGCAUUGGCACGUGCUCAGUGUUAUCAUUCGGCUUGUCAAGGUGUAUCAAAUUGUGUCAUCAUUUGGGUUGUCAAGAGGUAUCAAAUUUGGAUCAAGAUUCAUAGUAUUCUGAUUUUCUUCCUCCGUGGAAACUCCAACAGUUUCUCCUACCACAAAAAAAGAAAAUGAAAAUGAUAUAGAAAUCCCAAUUUUCAAGCUCAGUGAGGUCAGAACCCUGAGCUUCCACCUUGCACUCACUCAACCAAAUCAAUAUCCCAAUUUUUACCAAUCAAUUAAAUUUUAUUCAACCUCAAUAUCUCAGUUUCUACCAAGCAAUUGACACCACUCUCACUCUUCCCCUUAAUAUAUAUGAAUUCAAAUCUUAUUCAGCCCAAAACAAAUGUAUAUUCCCAUAGCUUAACUUUAUCGCCAACAAGAACAAUCCCCAAUAUUUUAAAUUUAUUAAACAAAUCAAAAUCUAGAGCAAAAGAAGAUUCUGCAGAAAAUCUCUAAUCUUUACUAGGGUGAAUCAUCAAUAACUAUAAAAGCACAUAACUUUAUAGAAGAAAAAAGGAAACCAAAGGGUCCCUAAGAUUGUGACCUAAGAUAGGAAUUAAUUCUAAGAAUCAGCAAAAACCCAUGAUAAUAAAGCUACUUUUGAAGUUAUUACAAACAAAUUAAAUUUACGAUUUACUCUAUAUUGGGCAAAGCAAUAAAGAUAGAAACUUUACCAAAUAGACAGCUAGCUAAAGAUACAAAAAGACCCAUUUUAGCCAAGAUUGGAUUUUGAUGAGGACAAAAUGGAGAUACAAACAAGCUCGAGGAGGUCUUCUUUUUACAGAAAAGAAAAAGCUCAAGUAGUCACCUCCUACCGUAAUUAACAAAGGAAGUCCGAAAAAUGAUAGGAGUACUACUUUGUUUCCAAGUGCAGAUUACGAGUAAUUCUUGUUGACACCUGUGUUACAAUUUAGAUUCAUUAUGUCGUCAAACAUCCACAUCUACC